rnacentral:rRNA from 1 species
UGCUGAUAAGCCCGGCCGGAGAACGGUAGUUCCGGUCGAAGUGCUGUACCCUAUGAAGGCUCCAGGGAAAUCCGGGGCCCGAGGCGAGGCAUGAUAGCGAGCUGACCUACGGGAAGGCGAAGCGGGCGUAGCUAUAGUGCCAAGAAAGAGUCCCUAAGGUGUGUCCAUGAUUGACCGUACCGCAAACCGACACAGGUAGGCGAGAUGAGAAAUCUAAGGCGCUCGAGAUAACUAGCGUUAAGGAACUCGGCAAAAUGCACACGUAACUUCGGGAGAAGUGUGGCCUUCUUUGGUUUAGCAAUAGGUUAGAGAAGGUUGCAGAGAGCAGGCCCAAGCGACUGUUUACCAAAAACACAGGUCUGUGCGAACGCGCAAGCGGACGUAUACGGACUGACGCCUGCCCGGUGCUGGAAGGUUAAGAGGAGGAGUCAGCAGCAAUGCGAAGCCCUGAAUCGAAGCCCCAGUAAACGGCGGCCGUAACUAUAACGGUCCUAAGGUAGCGAAAUUCCUUGUCGGGUAAGUUCCGACCCGCACGAAUGGUGGAACGAUUUGGGCACUGUCUCAACGCUAGACUCGGUGAAAUUUAUAUACCGGUAAAGAAGCCGGUUUCCUGUGGUUAGACGGUAAGACCCCGUGAACCUUUACUGCAACUUAUCAUUGGGACUUGACUUGACAUGUGUAGAAUAGGUGGGAGGCUUUGAAGCAUGGCCGCUAGGUUGUGUGGAGCCUUCAGUGAAAUACCACUCUUGUUAAGUUAGGUUUCUAACCCGUUCUGUCAAUCCAGGAUGGGGACAGUGUUAGGCGGGCGGUUUGACUGGGGCGGUCGCCUCCUAAACGGUAACGGAGGUGCGCGAAGGUCGCCUUACGCUGGUUGGAAAUCAGCGCACAAGUGUAAAGGCACAAGGCGGCUUGACUGCGAGUCCGACAGGACGAGCAGGUACGAAAGUAGGUCUUAGUGAUCUGGCGGUAGCGAGUGGAAGCGCCGUCACUUAACGGAUAAAAGGUACUCUGGGGAUAACAGGCUGAUCUUGCCCAAGAGUUCACAUCGACGGCAAGGUUUGGCACCUCGAUGUCGGCUCAUCGCAUCCUGGGGCUGGAGCAGGUCCCAAGGGUCUGGCUGUUCGCCAAUUAAAGCGGUACGUGAGCUGGGUUCGAACGUCGUGAGACAGUUCGGUCCCUAUCUGCCACGGGCGUUGGAUGGUUGAGAGGAGCUGCCUUUAGUACGAGAGGACCGAGGUGGACGUACCUCUGGUGUACCGGUUAUCGUGCCAACGGUAAGUGCCGGGUAGCCAAGUACGGAAGGGAUAACCGCUGAAAGCAUCUAAGUGGGAAGCCCACCUCAAGAUAAACCAUCCCUGAGGGUUCGACCCUCCUGAAGGCACCAGGGAGAAUACCUGGUUGAUAGGCUGCAGGUGUACGUACGGUAACGUACUCAGCCGAGCAGUACUAAUCUGCCGUGAGGCUUGACU